AACGAACGCUGGCGGCAUGCCUAACACAUGCAAGUCGAACGAGACCUUCGGGUCUAGUGGCGCACGGGUGCGUAACGCGUGGGAACCUGCCCUUAGGUUCGGAAUAACUCCCCGAAAGGGGUGCUAAUACCGGAUAAUGUCUUCGGACCAAAGAUUUAUCGCCUUUGGAUGGGCCCGCGUUGGAUUAGCUAGUUGGUAGGGUAAAAGCCUACCAAGGCGACGAUCCAUAGCUGGUCUGAGAGGAUGAUCAGCCACACUGGGACUGAGACACGGCCCAGACUCCUACGGGAAGCAGCAGUGGGGAAUAUUGGACAAUGGGCGAAAGCCUGCUCCAGCAAUGCCGCGUGAGUGAUGAAGGCCUUAGGGUUGUAAAGCUCUUUUACCCGGGAUGAUAAUGACAGUACCGGGAGAAUAAGCUCCGGCUAACUCCGUG
rnacentral:rRNA from 1 species